rnacentral:rRNA from 1 species
ACGCUCGACACCUACGGGAGACAGCAGUGGGGAAUAUUGCACAAUGGGGGAAACCCUGAUGCAGCGACGCCGCGUGAAGGAAGAAGUAUCUCGGUAUGUAAACUUCUAUCAGCAGGGAAGAAAGUGACGGUACCUGACUAAGAAGCCCCGGCUAAUUACGUGUCAGCAGCCGCGGUAAUCUGAGCGGGCUGGCAAGGC